rnacentral:snRNA from 1 species
GGACGUGGGGGUGAUCUGCCUUCCACCUCAGCCACCCCGUUGACCUCGAGGGUUGACUCAGCUGGUCUGGCUGGCUUCCCCUUCCUCCCUCAUGGCUCCAUGUGUGUUCCUCCGGAAGCCACAACCUUCCCGGAAGACAGGAGGGUUCCAUCUUCAGUCUCCAGUUAAGGGUAUAAAAGUAGCUGUGCUCUCCAGCUAGAACCUCCAAACAAGCCCUCAAGAAGGGUUUGGUGGGGUUAAAGCAGGUAGAAAAGGAGGAGUCAAGAAAACUCGGCUUCCUCCACUUUUUAGGAGUUAAGU